UACGAAGGGGGCUAGCGUUGUUCGGAAUUACUGGGCGUAAAGGGCGCGUAGGCGGUGUGUCAAGUCAGGCGUGAAAGCCCCGGGCUCAACCUGGGAACCGCGCUUGAGACUGGCACGCUCGAGUUCGGGAGAGGAUGGUGGAAUUCCCAGUGUAGAGGUGAAAUUCGUAGAUAUUGGGGAAGAACACCGAUGGCGAAGGCAGCCAUCUGGACCGACACUGACGCUGAGGCGCGAAAGCGUGGGGAGCAAACAGG
rnacentral:rRNA from 1 species